UUGGCUUAACAAAAAAUAUCUAGCCAAAUCCAAAAUGUUCCGAAUUGGAUUCUCGACAGGGGUUUCAUGAUUAGUGUGAUGUGUGAUUUGAGGCGAGGGUUUUUGUUCCAAUUAGACGAAAAUGAUGUGGUUCGUUUUUUUUUAUUUCGAUUUGGAUCUAAGGAAAAUGAGCUCCCAGAUUUAUAGAACAACAUCAACAAGAACACACUUAUCUCUUUAUCUAAAGGUCAUCGCUCUAACGAGGUACAGGCAGUGGUGGAUCCCGAUAUUAUUGUCAGUGUUGUUCCUAAGGUUUGGCGGUGCUAAUAGGAUGGAUUGGUGGAGUUGACAGUGGUACUGUAAGAACAAGGGUAUCUCUCGAUGAAAUCAGGGUCAAGGUGCAAAGCAAAUGGUGUUACAUGUUGGUUUAAUGAGCUUUCCUUGUCUGAUGUCAAUUGAUUAUUGCUUUAAGGUUGUUAAACUACUUAGAUCUCAAAUGGAUAUUUUUGUUUGCAAGCUUUGUAACAAAUGAGUAUUCUGUCCUGUAGAUUCCUAGGUUCUUGAAUGAAUGAUCUGAAAUUUUAGUUAGUUGGUGUUAUAUGAUGCUUGAAGAAUGUUGUCGGGUAUUUUUCAUCUGUAUCACAUGAAUUGUAUGGUUAAAUUUCUAAGAUAGGUUACUAUUUAGUUGCUUUGCAAAGAAGAAAACCAUUUGCAUCUACUUACCUUUUAUUUGAUUAAUUUUAUGCUAAUUGGUUUUUGGUUUAGCUGUGCCCUGUAACUGUUUGUUGACUUUGUUCAAAAUGAGCCAAACGACAUGAGCAUUGUGGCCAGGGUUUUCUAGUAAGCUAACUAGUUUUCAAAAUGGGUUGUGCUAUCAGAAAGCAUGUGUAGACACUAGCAGGUUGGUCAUGGUAUAUGUACUUGCGUUUGUAUUUGUAAUUUUUAGAUUGGCAUGUAGAAAGGUUAAGAUUUAAGAAAUAAAGUCUUGUUGAUCUUUGGUCUUUUUGGGUCUCUUUGAGUGUCUUAGUUGUACUGGAUACAACAAACUUGACAGACUUUCAUGAAAGACUUUUUGGCUCGUGUUUUUUUUUUUUGUUUUGGGUGGUAUCUAAAAUGAGAUUUAUGAACUACUGUUAGUUUUUUUCUUCAAAAGAUAGAAACCUAUCUAGCUUUAAGAAAUACGGUUGACCAACUGAAGUAUUGAAUAGUGAAAUUAAUUUAUUAUAUGUACUUACCCUACGUACUUGAAAUGUUGAUGGAAAAUGGAUACUCACAAUAAUGUGAGCUUAAGAUACUGGGAGUGACUAUUUAAUGGUGCUCGUUGAAUGGAUUUUUGGUGCAUCCGUAGUGGUAUUUAGUGGUGCUCGUUGAAUGGAUUUUUGGUGCAUCCGUAAUGGUACAAUAUAACGUAUUGUGGAUUAUACAUACGUUGCUUAUAAAAGCAUAGGGAGUUCUGGAGUUUCGUCUCUUCCAUAGUUAAUUAUUCUUUAUUUUGGUUAUUACAUGGUUUUGUUUCUGAAUGUUACUUGCCUUUCUCGGUAUGUCAUUGAUAUGAGGUGGGGAUUGAGAAACAUAGAUAAUGGACCAGCACCGCUCCGACUCAGUUCGGCUUUCAGGAUUUAAACUUGGGCCUGUGAAACAUACAUCAGAAGCAGUAGUGAAGAAGCAUGGUGCCAUAAGGUUAACUUCUGAAGUUAAAGGACUAAUUGUGCUGAAAACAACCUAGGUAACUGUUCACCACUCUUCUCACAUGUCGGUCGUUGUAAAGCAAUUUACUGGUGAAGCAGAGUUACAUUACAAUACGCUAGACAAAAUUUAUCAAUUCUGAAUCUCAGUUAUGUGGUUGUUAUCUACAUUUGACAAUGAUCUUUUGCAUUUUUGCUUGGAAAGGAGCUUGAACAUUUCUAUGCCUCUUUGUAUGCUGGGGUUUAUUAUGAAAUCUCAGGUGCGUAAA